UUUGUCUGGCAGAUGCAAAUACUGGCGUUUAUGACUCAGCCACGAAGACCUAUGAACUUCUAGAUGCCAGCCAGAGCGAUAAGAACACGUAUGCAUCAUAAGCCAAACACCAACCAUCACAGAGUGCACGCUUGUAUGAGAAUACUCGUAGCGAUGACGGU